UGAAAACGGGUAGUCCUUGUUCUGCUUGGGGGGCUUUAAGGAAGCAAAUGGACUUUCAGAACAGAGAUUGUCAAUAAAGAUUGAAGGUUUGUGGCAACCUGCAUGGAUCAAGUCUAUCGGCAUAAUUUUUCCAACGGACUACCCUUCCUAAGCUCUGGAUGUGUCCUCUGAGAAGGUACCCAUGACACAGACCACACUGGACACCAACUCAGAUAUUGGGGGACGGUUCCACAACAGCUGAGUGCGGACAUGCUGAUCACUGAGCCCCUUGAUGAAUGAAAAGCUGCUAAGCUCUCCUCUCAAGCUGAUGGGGCUGGUGCUGCCUUGAAGCACUGAGAGAUGCCAUGCCAAUUCACGGCAAGGUCUUUAUUGUUGAAACUCUUGCAUCAUGACAUCUUUAUGCAUGUGAAAAUACAGGAUGAAUUUCAACUAUAUGAUAUUGUUCAUGUUCAUCAGAAAUGUUAUUUGUCUUUACAAAGUCUGGUUUCAAUGAACCAGUUAUGUAAUGGAUAUUAAAUAAACAUGGAAUUUUACAUGUUCAUAAUAUUUGGUUUCUUGUGAGUUUGACGAACUACACUUUCGAGCACUGUCAGUUCAUCCUUAUUUACAAACAGAACGUUUGCCUGUAGCAGAGUGAUGUAGUGACUUGCUUUAUUUUAAGAUAAGUCAACUUUUCUAUUCAAUGUUUAAUGUGAAACUGACUCAAAAUGUUCUUUUAGGCCACAUUUACAUUUCUCUCUGUAUAACAUGUAUUAUACUAUCUUAAUGCUGUGAGCUAUAUAAACCAAAGACAUUCUAAUUCUGUUUUUAAUGUAUUUUUCCAAGAUAAAUAAUUUAUAACACACUAAUAAAAGUAAGGAGCUC